GCCCCGGUGAUGGAAUCGGCAUACAUAUCCGACGUCCAAUCGGACGGCUUCGACGGCUGUGCGGGUUCGAGUCCCGCCCGGGGCACCA
rnacentral:tRNA from 1 species